rnacentral:rRNA from 1 species
GAUGAACGCUGGCGGCGUGCUUAACACAUGCAAGUCGAACGGAAAGGCCCAAGCUUGCUUGGGUACUCGAGUGGCGAACGGGUGAGUAACACGUGGGUGAUCUGCCCUGCACUUCGGGAUAAGCCUGGGAAACUGGGUCUAAUACCGGAUAGGACCACUUCUUGGAUGUGGUGGUGGAAAGUUUUUUCGUUGUGGGAUGAGCUGGCGGCCUAUCGGCUUGUUGGUGGGGUAAUGGCCUACCAAGGCGUCGCCGGGAAGCCGGCCUGUGGGGGUGUACGGCCACACUGGGACUGAGGGACGGCCCAGACUCCGACGGGAGGGAGCAGUGGGGAAGAUUGCACGAUGGGCGCAAGGCUGAUGCAGCGACGCCGCGUGGGGGAUGACGGUCUUCGGGUUGUAAACUCAUUUCGCUAGGGACGAAGCGUUUUGUGACGGUACCUGGAGAAGAAGCACCGGCUAACUACGUG